rnacentral:rRNA from 1 species
GAUGGGCCUGCGGCGCAUUAGCUAGUUGGUAAGGUAGUGGCUUACCAAGGCGACGAUGCGUAGCCGACCUGAGAGGGUGAUCGGCCACACUGGGACUGAGACACGGCCCAGACUCCUACGGGAGGCAGCAGUGGGGAAUAUUGCACAAUGGGCGCAAGCCUGAUGCAGCGACGCCGCGUGGGGGAUGACGGCCUUCGGGUUGUAAACUCCUUUCGACAGGGACGAAGCUUAUGUGACGGUAYYUGUWGAAGAAGCACCGGCUAACUACGUGCCAGCAGCCGCGGUAAUACGUAGGGUGCGAGCGUUGUCCGGAAUUACUGGGCGUAAAGAGCUCGUAGGUGGUUUGUCGCGUCGUCUGUGAAAUCCCGGGGCUUAACCUCGGGCGUGCAGGCGAUACGGGCAUAACUUGAGUGCUGUAGGGGAGACUGGAAUUCCUGGUGUAGCGGUGAAAUGCGCAGAUAUCAGGAGGAACACCAAUGGCGAAAGCAGGUCUCUGGGCAGUAACUGACGCUGAGGAGCGAAAGCAUGGGUAGCGAACAGGAUUAGAUACCCUGGUAGUCCAUGCCGUAACGGUGGGCGCUAGGUGUAGGGGACUUCCACGUCUUCUGUGCCGCAGCUACGCAUUA